CGCGCUGUGGAGCAAUUGGAAGCUCGUCGGGCUCAUAACCCGAAGGUUGCUGGUUCAAGUCCGGUCGGCGCUA
rnacentral:tRNA from 1 species